UAGGGCUCAUCUAAGACCUAAGAUGGCGGCGUUCGUACGGAGGAAAAGUACUGCCUGAGUACUAGGUGUGGAAAACGGCCAAUGGACAAAUCUAUUAAGGAAAGUACAGAAACUCGCUAAUAUUUUCUUUUGUGUCACCUUACCACCACUGAUGAAGCUAGACGGUUGCGGAUACUAGCUCGUAGGAGGGAUUCUGAGCCGUUUUCUUCUCGUUUUUCCUUGUUUAAAUGGGUUUUUAUUGACACCACGCCGGCCCCAGAACGCUUUCAGGAACACCCUAACCUGUUGGACCUACUUUUCCUUAUUUCCUUCGUGCUGUAUUUCGCAGGUCUCAGAUGAAGACUUCUAGGCAUACAUUUGUUCUGGAAGCACGUUCUUUUCAGAGGUGUGUGUGUGUGUGUGUGUGUGUGUGUGUACGUACGUACAGGGGGCUUUCCACAUAUGUUAUGAAAUACUUAAGAUAUACAAACAUAUAAAGAAUAAUACAAUGAGAGAUGCAAAAGAAAAAAAAAAAGGAGUGAACCUCUGUUUUCACCAUCCAAACAUAAAAAUAAUAGCAUGAUAGUUGAAGUUCUCUGUGUACCCAUCCCCGAAUGUGUCUCUUCCUUCAUCCCCAGAGAGAUGCAUCUAGUAAGAAGUUGCUACCGCCUGG